rnacentral:sRNA from 1 species
GCUGGGUGUGGUGGUGCACGCCUGUAAUCCCAGCAGUUUGGAAGGCUGAGACAGGAGGAUUGUGAGUUCAAGACUAGCCUCAGCAAAAGUGAGGCACUAAGCAAUUCAGUGAGACCCUGUCUCUA